GGAUUGGGAUAUAUCGGUUGUGCCUUUAGGGGCAUGAAUUGGUGUAUGGUCAAUUCUCACCUUCUGGUGAAUUGGAAUGCUCUCAGGUGUUUCGAUGAACUAGGACAUUUACUUUGAAAAAAUUAGAGUGUUUAAAGCGGGCAUUUUUGCUUGAAUACAUUAGCAUGGAAUAACGGAAUA
rnacentral:rRNA from 1 species